rnacentral:rRNA from 1 species
UUGGUGGCGAGUGGCGGACGGGUGAGUAACGCGUAGGAAUCUACCCAAUAGCGGGGGAUAGCCCGGGGAAACUCGGAUUAAUACCGCAUACGCCCUACGGGGGAAAGGCCGGGAUCUUCGGACCGGUCGCUAUUGGAUGAGCCUGCGUUGGAUUAGCUAGUUGGUAGGGUAAAGGCCUACCAAGGCGACGAUCCAUAGCUGGUCUGAGAGGAUGAUCAGCCACACUGGAACUGAGACACGGCCCAGACUCC